AUGUAAAAUGACUCUCGGCAACGGAUAUCUCGGCUCUUGCAUCGAUGAAGAACGUAGCGAAAUGCGAUACUUGGUGUGAAUUGCAGAAUCCCGUGAACCAUCGAGUCUUUGAACGCAAGUUGCGCCCGAAGCCAUUAGGCCGAGGGCACGCCUGCCUGGGUGUCACAC
rnacentral:rRNA from 1 species